CGAUGUGAGGGUUAUCUGGCUGUGACAUCUGUCACCCCAUUGAUCACCAGGGUUGAUUGGACUGAUGUGGCAGGCUAGGCAAGUGGCCCCUUCCUCUCUCACCACCCCAUGUGCCUCCCUCCUGAAGCUGUGUGCUCACUCAAAGAGGAAGGCCUUCCUUCCCUGAUAGAGGAGGACUGUUCUUUGGUCAAGGGUAUAUGAGUAGCUGUGCUCCCUGGCUAGAACCUUCGAACAAACUUUCAAGGUCCAUUUGUAGGAGAACAUUGGAUUUUAUUUCAUUAUUUAAAAAAGGAGACAUCACUCUUU
ensembl:misc_RNA 7SK 7SK RNA